UACAGAGGGGGCGAGCGUUGUUCGGAAUUACUGGGCGUAAAGGGCGCGUAGGCGGUCAGCACAAGUCAGUUGUGAAAUCUCCGGGCUUAACUCGGAAAGGUCAACUGAUACUGUGCGACUAGAGUGCAGAAGGGGCAACUGGAAUUCUCGGUGUAGCGGUGAAAUGCGUAGAUAUCGGAAGGAACACCAGUGGCGAAAGCGGCUUCCUGGUCCAGCACCGACGUUCAGGCACGGAAAGCGUGGGGAGCAAACAGGG
rnacentral:rRNA from 1 species